rnacentral:rRNA from 1 species
UACGAAGGGUGCAAGCGUUACUCGGAAUUACUGGGCGUAAAGCGUGCGUAGGUGGUUUGUUAAGUCUGAUGUGAAAGCCCCGGGCUCAACCUGGGAAUGGCAUUGGAAACUGGUCAGCUGGAGUGUGGCAGAGGGGGGUGGAAUUCCGCGUGUAGCAGUGAAAUGCGUAGAGAUGCGGAGGAACACCGAUGGCGAAGGCAGCCCCCUGGGCCAACACUGACGCUCAGGCACGAAAGCGUGGGGAGCAAACAGG